ensembl:lncRNA
CCUCCUACUGGACUUGAAGGUGUUUACUUGCCUGGGGAAGCUGAGGAUUGAUGGGAACUUCACAUACACAUCAGAUGCCCUUAAUUAAGAGUUUAGAUGCUCAAAACCCAGAUGUGGGAAAAGUUCUCCCUCUUCAGCUCGGUUUUUCAGCCAGCUGUAUCAUCACAUAAACUGGAUCCAAACAAUGCUGAGAGUUUUGUUAUACACCAGGCAGCUGAUGCACUCUUAAGUGCUCCCAGCAUUUGGCUCUCACCAGUGCUCAGAAGCUGGGGUUAGGCAGAGGUGAAAACCUAUAGGCUGACAGUCUGCACAGGGAAGUGGAGGAGCAUUUCCAGUAGAGUAAGAACAGGCACUGCAGCUGCCUAUUGCUGCUAUCCAGAUAUUGUGGUGUUGGACCAGCCCCUGUGUGGGUGUGGUUUGACUGUACUGCUUUGUUUUUUGUGUUCUAGAUUAUCUCACUCAACAGACUAUACAGAUGCUGGUGUGUUGACAGUCCUCUGCUCACUGAGAUCUUUCUCAGUAAUUUUGUUUGAGCAUAAUCUGAAAUUUAGCUUUCUAAGACCUUCCUGUCUGGCUCAUGCCAUGUCACUUACCCAGAUCCUUUAGAAUAGGACCCAAGAGACAACACAUUUUUUGUUAAAUUCAGGUUGCCACAUGAAAUACCAUGGUUAAUGAAAAUGCACAAAUUGCUGGAGUUCUAACGGGCAUGUUUCCAGGUCUUGGAGAAACAUGAUGAUCCUGACUGGGAGCCUUGCCAGCUGAAUAAGGUGAGCGGCCAUUCCCCUGCACGUGGCCCGACUGCCUUAAGAAGUUCUCCNNNNNNNNNNNNNNNNNNNNUCGGACGAGCUGACGCGGCACUACCGAACCCACACCGGCGAGAAGCAGUUCCGCUGCCCGCUCUGCGAGAAGCGCUUCAUGCGCAGCGACCACCNNNNNNNNNNNNNNNNNNNNNNNNNNNNNNNNNNNNNNNNNNNNNNNNNNNNNNNNNNNNNNNNNNNNNNNNNNNNNNNNNNNNNNNNNNNNNNNNNNNNNNNNNNAAUAAAAGUACUCAGUAUCCCCCUCCCCAUCUUCCACCUCCAGGCUCUGCCCUGAGAACAGUCUGGAACAAGUGGACUGUGGGGUGAGAGGAGGGAAGGGGCAGCCAGGGAGGAGGUGACACCUCUUCCGAUGUCAUGCGUUGAUACUGGUGUACAUACAUAGGACUGGGCGGUCUGGCCUGUGCCACCACAGUAGCAUGACCCCAAAGUCUUUGUGAUUGCUGUGUCAUGAACAUGUUUUGUUGAACAGUGUAAUGCUGCUUGUAUUUAGAGUCUGUCGAGUAAAAACACUUUCCGAGUCACAUAAAUAACUCAGAUAAAAACUCCAUAGCACAUUGUAGAAGUGGGUUUACUUCUGUGUAUCUUCUGCACUUAAAGAGGCUAUUAAGAGAAACAUUACAUAUGUUACCAAUAGUAUCUGAUUGAUAUACUGAGAUAAGGUGAAUUUAUACUCAAUAAGGCCCAUUAAAGUAAAUAGGUAUUUUUAACUUUUCUUUGUAUUAACUGUACUUUUGAAUAUCAGCUGGACUUUUCCAGUAAAAACAUGUACGAUUCAAGAAAAUACUUAAAGCAAAAAAAAUCCCCAUAAAGAGCUCAGUAAUUUUCUGACUAUUUGUGUAUUUAGCUCUGUUAUUCACUUACCUGGAAAAAUCCAGCUCAGCCUAGAUAAUGUGGCGGGCAUGUGGGAGCUGAAGCAUAUGUGUCUCAUAUGAUCCCAUACUUUACUUGUCAGUGAUAUAGUACUGUACUACAGAAAUGCCACUAACAGUGCUUUAUUCUGCUGUGGUUUGUUCGAAUGGGUGCACAAAGCAGCUACCAUCUUUACAAACAGCUGCUUUUUAAAAGGCUUUUUCUCUUCCUACACUUGCCUUAAAGAUUUAUUCUCUUCAUACCAUGGCCUAACUCCCUUGGAGUCCUAUGGGAAUUGUGUGUGCUUAUGGAGAGAGUAGACCUUUUCUUAAGAGCACUCUGAUAAUGGAAACACCUAAAAUUACUGUAAGGAGCACUUUGGAAGGGCUCCUGUAUCACUUGAUUGCUCUUUCUCUGGAGUAUGGGGGAAUACCACAAGCUAAUUUGAAACACAGAAGGUGUUUUGCAAUACUCCUUUAUGACAUAAGCUUCUCUUAGUACUUUUUACCUGUGUCAUGCAUGGCACGUCAAAUGGUGAUAAAAGCAAUGUUAACUUUUAUUUAAAAGCUAUUUUUUGGAUCUUUAAAAGGAGCAGAAAGACCACUGAAUGAAAACUUUUAGAUGUAAUCAUUAGUGAAUAUUUCAAAUUUUUGUAUGUUAAAAGCAUGAAAUUUAAGAGGUUAUCAGUGAUAUUUUUUUUCCCCUCCCCAGCUGCAUAAUGGGGGAGAAUUCUGUUUACACAUUAUUUUUUUCCAGCAAUGUUCUUCUGUUUGGUUUUUACCCCUUCCUCCAGAAGAGGAAGGGGAGGUGCAGCCCUACUAGAGACUUAGGGCCAAAUUAAUUUUGUGAGUAUUUACACUGAAACCCAAAGUGUCUCCACUGCAGAUGAAUUUAGGUCAUCUUGUAAAAUUGUGUACAUAAAAGAUCUUGUUAGCACACCUGCAAUUACAGUAUCUUAUUGUUUUAUCUGAUAAAAAGCUUGCUUCCUAGAAACAAACAUAAAAAAACUAACUCGGAGAGUAGAGUGUUUUCCUCUACAGUUGUAUAUGGCUUUCAGCAUUAGAAAUCUGUUUGCAUACUGUGUUUUUACCUGUGUAGUUCAUGAUAGAUUUCGUCUUUGUGAAGAGAACUUCUUUUAAAGCAUUGGGGAUAUUGAACAGUCUAUGGAAUAAAAAGGGAUGUGUUUUCUUCA